rnacentral:rRNA from 1 species
UACGUAGGGUGCAAGCGUUGUCCGGAAUUAUUGGGCGUAAAGAGCUCGUAGGCGGUCUGUCGCGUCGGCUGUGAAAUCUCGGGGCUCAACCCCGAGCCUGCAGUCGAUACGGGCAGACUAGAGUGCUGUAGGGGAGACUGGAAUUCCUGGUGUAGCGGUGAAAUGCGCAGAUAUCAGGAGGAACACCGGUGGCGAAGGCGGGUCUCUGGGCAGUAACUGACGCUGAGGAGCGAAAGCUAGGGGAGCGAACGGG